GCUAUUUUUUCCACCCAGAGCAGAAAUGCAGAUGCGUUAUUCCUCAAGCUGUUUGUAGGCAGCAGCUCACUAAGACAUCAGGCCUGCAGCAUUUUUUAACUACAGAUAUAUUAAGAGGCUGGACACGGCAUAAGCAUUCCUGGCAGGUAGGAAAGAGGGGUUGGGACCUGAUAGUGAAAGGGCACAAGAAUUAGUAACUGCAAGAGAAGAGCUGCCCAACCCAAGCAUAUUCUGCAACCAACUCUUUAACAACUCUUUUUCUGCAGAAAAACAAAAAAACUAAACCUGCAUUCCAAAAUAACAUGAUUUUGAAAACAUGGGGAGAAAAGAUUAAAGAAGAGAGACACAGCCAAACCACCUCACAUCACAGAAGCCCCAUCCUCUGCACCUCUUAAAACCUCCUUGUUUUGGAAGGGCUUUUUUUUCUUAGGCGAAAGGGUAGGCAUGGGCCAGGACUAGUUGUGUCCUGAGCAAAGUGGCACCAUGAAGGAAAGAGAAUGUAAGGAGCAGCCUGAAGAACAACGAAAAGCAGUGAAGUUGAGGUUUUGGUGUUGUGGGGUUUUUUGUGUUUAAGUCAAGUUUUUAAGUGCUGCCUGUCAGAGAAAGCAGCCUUUCUCUGCUCGCCCCUUCGGGAUCCCUCGGCGCACCCUCACCUCACAACACCGCGCCGCCCCGGGGAUCCUGCGCCUCACAGACCCCCGCCGCCUCCGGACACCCGCCCAGCCGGAGACGGGGACCCCCCCAGCUCAAACUGAAGGCGGCUGGAAGGAAGGGAAUCAGCCUCAUUCAGCCGCCCCCGAUAAUGGCACGGGGAACAUGCAGGAAACCAGUUUUCCUUCUGACUGCCUACAGACCACGACGAAGUUCUACUCUGCUCCUUACCAGGCAUUCCAGGCUUUGCUACUUGCAUCAGUGAUGGCUUGGUGUAGAAAGAAAAGCCAACAAGCUCCAGAGUACUCACCAGAAAUUGUGCCCUACUCAAGUCAGGAUGCAAUACUUGCCUUAGUAAUUUUCUCCCUCUUCUCCUUUCUGCCGAUGUGAAUCUACAAUGUUUGGAGGAUGCAAGCCCUGAGUAUGAACAGUAGGCAACCUCUUGUUUGUGUGAUGAGAACCAUAAUUUUGAGGAACUUGGUAGGUUCUUGAAAAGAACAGAAUGGAAACAGAAUCUCAUUUCCUCUUUCUUUGGCAUCCAUUUUUGGUUACUUAUUAAUUCUAAGGGAAGAGUAACACUGGAGAAAAGCAUUCAACACUCAACACUGGCUUUUCUUCUGUAACUCUGAAGUAAGCGCAAUGGUUAAUUAAUGGCCAGAUCUGUGAAUGUGACUAUACGACUGACAUGCGUAGGAGUAAUGACAUGAGUUUGGAAAACUACUUUCAGAGACAAAUAAAGAGUAUUACAUACAUUGCA
rnacentral:lncRNA from 1 species